GACGAACGCUGGCGGCGUGCUUAACACAUGCAAGUCGAACGGAACGGCCCUGCUUUUGUGGGGUGCUCGAGUGGCGACCGGGUGAGUAACACUUGAGUAACCUGCACUUGCCUUUGGGAUAACCUCAGGCAACUGGGGCUCAUACCGGCUAGGAGCUCCUGCUGCUUGGUGGGGGUUGGAAAGUUUAGGUGGUUGGGGAUGGACUCGCGGCCCAUCAGCUUGUUGGUUUGGUAGUGGCUUACCAUGGCUUUGACAGGUAGCCGGGCUGAGAGGGUAACCUGCCACGUUGGGACUGGAAUACGACACAGACUACUACGGUAGGCAGCAGUGGGGAAUGUAACACAAUGGGCGGAAGCCUGGUGUAGCAACGCCGCGUGCGGGAUGACAGCCUGCGGGUAGGAAACCACAGUCGCCUUAGACGAAGCGAGAGUGACGGUAAUGGGAGAAUAAGCACCGGCUAACUACGUG
rnacentral:rRNA from 1 species